UACGUAGGGUGCGAGCGUUGUCCGGAAUUAUUGGGCGUAAAGGGCUCGUAGGCGGUUUGUCGCGUCGGGAGUGAAAUCCACUGGCUUAACUGGUGGCUUGCUUUCGAUACGGGCAGACUGGAGGUAUGCAGGGGAGAACGGAAUUCCCAGUGUAGCGGUGAAAUGCGCAGAUAUUGGGAAGAACACCAGUGGCGAAGGCGGUUCUCUGGGACGGUACUGACGCUGAGGAGCGAAAGCGUGGGGAGCGAACAGG
rnacentral:rRNA from 1 species